UACGGGGGGGGCAAGCGUUGUUCGGAAUUACUGGGCGUAAAGGGCUCGUAGGUGGCCAACUAAGUCAGACGUGAAAUCCCCAGGCUCAACUUGGGAACUGCGUCUGAUACUGGAUGGCUUGAAUUCGGGAGAGGGAUGCAGAAUUCCAGGUGUAGCGGUGAAAUGCGUAGAUAUCUGGAGGAAUACCGGUGGCGAAGGCGGCAUCCUGGACCGGCAUUGACGCUGAGGAGCGAAAGCCAGGGGAGCAAACGGG
rnacentral:rRNA from 1 species